rnacentral:rRNA from 1 species
CCCAAAGUCAUGGUUAAGUGGGAAACGAUGUGGGAAGGCCCAGACAGCCAGGAUGUUGGCUUAGAAGCAGCCAUCAUUUAAAGAAAGCGUAAUAGCUCACUGGUCGAGUCGGCCUGCGCGGAAGAUGUAACGGGGCUAAACCAUGCACCGAAGCUGCGGCAGCGACGCUUAUGCGUUGUUGGGUAGGGGAGCGUUCUGUAAGCCUGCGAAGGUGGCCUGUGAGGGUUGCUGGAGGUAUCAGAAGUGCGAAUGCUGACAUAAGUAACGAUAAAGCGGGUGAAAAGCCCGCUCGCCGGAAGACCAAGGGUUCCUGUCCAACGUUAAUCGGGGCAGGGUGAGUCGACCCCUAAGGCGAGGCCGAAAGGCGUAGUCGAUGGGAAACGGGUUAAUAUUCCCGUACUUGGUGUUACUGCGAAGGGGGGACGGAGAAGGCUAUGUUGGCCGGGCGACGGUUGUCCCGGUUUAAGCGUGUAGGUGUGUGUUCCAGGUAAAUCCGGUUCACUUUAACACUGAGGCGUGACGACGAGGCACUACGGUGCUGAAGCAACAAAUGCCCUGCUUCCAGGAAAAGCCUCUAAGCAUCAGGUAACAUCAAAUCGUACCCCAAACCGACACAGGUGGUCAGGUAGAGAAUACCAAGGCGCUUGAGAGAACUCGGGUGAAGGAACUAGGCAAAAUGGUGCCGUAACUUCGGGAGAAGGCACGCUGACAC